UAGCAUAUCAAUAAGCGGAGGAAAAGAAACCAACAGGGAUUGCCCUAGUAACGGCGAGUGAAGCGGCAACAGCUCAAAUUUGAAAUCUGGCGUCUUUGGCGUCCGAGUUGUAAUUUGCAGAGGGCGCUUUGGCAUUGGCAGCGGUCCAAGUUCCUUGGAACAGGACGUCACAGAGGGUGAGAAUCCCGUACGUGGUCGCUAGCCUUUACCGUGUAAAGCCCCUUCGACGAGUCGAGUUGUUUGGGAAUGCAGCUCUAAAUGGGAGGUAAAUUUCUUCUAAAGCUAAAUACUGGCCAGAGACCGAUAGCGCACAAGUAGAGUGAUCGAAAGAUGAAAAGCACUUUGGAAAGAGAGUUAAAAAGCACGUGAAAUUGUUGAAAGGGAAGCGCUUGCAGCCAGACUUGCUUGUAGUUGCUCAUCCGGGUUUUUACCCGGUGCACUCUUCUACAGGCAGGCCAGCAUCAGUUUGGGCGGUUGGAUAAAGGUCUCUGUCAUGUACCUCUCUUCGGGGAGAACUUAUAGGGGAGACGACAUGCAACCAGCCUGGACUGAGGUCCGCGCAUCUGCUAGGAUGCUGGCGUAAUGGCUGUAAGCGGCCCGUCUUGAAACACGGACCAAGGAGUCUAACAUCUAUGCGAGUGUUUGGGUGUCAAGCCCGAGCGCGUAAUGAAAGUGAACGGAGGUGGGAACCUUUCGGGGUGCACCAUCGACCGAUCCUGAUGUCUUCGGAUGGAUUUGAGUAAGAGCAUAGCUGUUGGGACCCGAAAGAUGGUGAACUAUGCUUGAAUAGGGUGAAGCCAGAGGAAACUCUGGUGGAGGCUCGCAGCGGUUCUGACGUGCAAAUCGAUCGUCAAAUUUGGGCAUAGGGGCGAAAGACUAAUCGAACUAUCUAGUAGCUGGGUUCCUGCCGA
rnacentral:rRNA from 1 species